rnacentral:tRNA from 1 species
UCUAAUAUGGCAGACAAGUGCAAUGGAUUUAAGCUCCAUAUAUAAAGGGCAACCCUUUUGUUAGAA